rnacentral:rRNA from 1 species
CCUACGGGCGGCAGCAGUGGGGAAUAUUGCACAAUGGGCGCAAGCCUGAUGCAGCCAUGCCGCGUGUGUGAAGAAGGCCUUCGGGUUGUAAAGCACUUUCAGCGGGGAGGAAGGCGGUGAGGUUAAUAACCUCAUCGACUGACGUUACCCGCAGAAGAAGCACCGGCUAACUCCGUGCCAGCAGCCGCGGUAAUACGGAGGGUGCAAGCGUUAAUCGGAAUUACUGGGCGUAAAGCGCACGCAGGCGGUCUGUCAAGUCGGAUGUGAAAUCCCCGGGCUCAACCUGGGAACUGCAUUCGAAACUGGCAGGCUAGAGUCUUGUAGAGGGGGGUAGAAUUCCAGGUGGAGCGGUGAAAUGCGUAGAGAUCUGGAGGAAUACCGGUGGCGAAGGCGGCCCCCUGGACAAAGACUGACGCUCAGGUGCGAAAGCGUGGGGAGCAAACAGGAUUAGAUACCCUAGUAGUC